rnacentral:rRNA from 1 species
AUUGAACGCUGGCGGCAGGCCUAACACAUGCAAGUCGAACGAGUGGCGGACGGGUGAGUAAUGUCUGGGAAACUGCCCGUUGGAGGGGGUUACCUAUUGGAACCGUUGCCUAAUACCCCUUACCACCGGUUUUCCCCAGAUGGGAUUAGCUAGUAGGUGGGGUAAUGGCUCACCUAGGCGACGAUCCCUAGCUGGUCUGAGGGGAUGACCAGCCACACUGGAACUGAGACACGGUCCAGACUCCUACGGGAGGCAGCAGUGGGGAAUAGUGCACAAUGGGCGCAAGCCUGAUGCAGCCAUGCCGCGUGUAUGAAGAAGGCCUUCGGGUUGUAAAGUACUUUCAGCGAGGAGGCGUUACUCGCAGAAGAAGCACCGGCUAACUCCGUGCCAGCAGCCGCGGUAAUUC